rnacentral:rRNA from 1 species
AUUGAACGCUGGCGGCAGGCCUAACACAUGCAAGUCGAGCGGAUGAAGGGAGCUUGCUCCUGGAUUCAGCGGCGGACGGGUGAGUAAUGCCUAGGAAUCUGCCUGGUAGUGGGGGGUAACGUCCGGAAACGGGCGCUAAUACCGCAUACGUCCUGAGGGAGAAAGUGGGGGAUCUUCGGACCUCACGCUAUCAGAUGAGCCUAGGUCGGAUUAGCUAGUUGGUGGGGUAAAGGCCUACCAAGGCGACGAUCCGUAACUGGUCUGAGAGGAUGAUCAGUCACACUGGAACUGAGACACGGUCCAGACUCCUACGGGAGGCAGCAGUGGGGAAUAUUGGACAAUGGGCGAAAGCCUGAUCCAGCCAUGCCGCGUGUGUGAAGAAGGUCUUCGGAUUGUAAAGCACUUUAAGUUGGGAGGAAGGGCAGUAAGUUAAUACCUUGCUGUUUCGACGUUACCAACAGAAUAAGCACCGGCUAACUUCGUG